CACGAACGCUGGCGGCGUGCCUAAUACAUGCAAGUAGAACGCAGUUGCGAACGGGUGAGUAACGCGUAGGUAACUGCCGCAUCGCGGGGUAUAACUAUUGGAAACGAUAGCUAAUACCGCAUACUGUGAGAUGGACCUGCGUUGUAUUAGCUAGUUGGUGAGGUAAAGGCUCACCAAGGCGACGAUACAUAGCCGACCCGAGAGGGUGAUGGGCCACACUGGGACUGAGACACGGCCCAGAAUCCUAAGGGAGGUAGCAGUAAGGAAUAUUCCGCAAUGGACGGAAAUCUGACCGAGCAAAGGCGGGAGAGUGAAAAAAGUUUUCGGAGCGUAAAGCUCUGUUGUUAGAGAAACGGUAUCUAACCAGAAAGGGACGGCUAACUACGUGCCAGCCGCCGCGGUAAUUC
rnacentral:rRNA from 1 species